AUUGAACGCUGGCGGCAGGCCUAACACAUGCAAGUCGAGCGAGCGGCGGAGGGGUGAGAAGUGCCUGGAAAUUGCCAAGGCGAGGGGGAUAACAGGUGGAAAGGACUGCUAAUACCGCAUAAGAUUGGAUUGCCUAGGUGGGAUUAGCUAGUUGGUGAGGUAAUGGCUCACCAAGGCGACGCUCCCUAGCUGGUCUGAGAGGAUGAUCAGCCACACUGGAACUGAGGCACGGUCCAGACUCCUACGGGAGGCAGCAGUGGGGAAUAUUGCACAAUGGGCGCAACCCUGAUGCAGCCAUGCCGCGUGUGUGAAGAAGGCCUUCGGGUUGUAAAGCACUUUCAGCGAGGAGGCGUUACUCGCAGAAGAAGCACCGGCUAACUCCGUGCCAGCAGCCGCGGUAAUAC
rnacentral:rRNA from 1 species